AGUGAACGCUGGCGGUAGGCCUAACACAUGCAAGUCGAACGGCAGCACAGUAAGAGCUUGCUCUUACGGGUGGCGAGUGGCGGACGGGUGAGGAAUACAUCGGAAUCUACUUUUUCGUGGGGGAUAACGUAGGGAAACUUACGCUAAUACCGCAUACGACCUACGGGUGAAAGCAGGGGACCUUCGGACCUUGCGCGAUUGUAUGAGCCGAUGUCGGAUUAGCUAGUUGGCGGGGUAAAGGCCCACCAAGGCGACGAUCCGUAGCUGGUCUGAGAGGAUGAGCAGCCACACUGGAACUGAGACACGGUCCAGACUCGUACGGGAGGCAGAAGUGGGGAAUAUUGGACAAUGGGCGCAAGCCUGAUCCAGCCAUACCGCGUGGGUGAAGAAGGCCUUCGGGUUGUAAAGCCCUUUUGUUGGGAAAGAAAAGCAGCAGGUUAAUACCCCGCUGUUCUGACGGUACCCAAAGAAUAAGCACCGGCUAACUUCGUG
rnacentral:rRNA from 1 species